rnacentral:rRNA from 1 species
GACGAACGCUGGCGGCGUGCUUAACACAUGCAAGUCGAACGGAGUGGCGAACGGGUGAGUAACACGUGGGUGAUUUGCCUUGCACUUCGGGAUAAGCUUGGGAAACUGGGUCUCAUACCGGUUAGUGCAAGAUGAGCUCGCGGCCGAUCGGCUUGUUGGUCGGGUAAUGGCCUACCAAGGCGUCGACGGGUAGCCGGCCUGAGAGGGUGUACGGCGUCAUGGGGACUGAGAUACGGGCCAGAGUGGUACGGGAGGCAGCAGGGGGGAAUAUUGCACAAUCGGCGGAAGCAUGAUGCAGCGACGCUGCGUGGGGGAUGAAGGCCUGCGGGUGGUAAACUCCUUUCGACAGGGACGCGGUACCUGAAUAAGAAGCACCGGCUAACUACGUGCCAGCAGCCGCGGUAAUUC